GUCACAACCUCAGGCAAAGCACAGCCAGGGUCCACUACACAGUCACCACCCAAGAUUUCUACUGCCUCCACGACAGCGAAACCACAACCUCCCAAAGUGCCAGCUCCAGGAAAACCAACCCCUCCUAAAUUUGAUCGAUGUGCUUAUUGGCUGCACUGUAGAACCAGUAGUUGUUUCUGUUGGUUUCGGCGAUGGUAUUGUUGGUUCUCUUUCUAUUGGACAUAUU